AGUUUGAACUUGUUCUGGAUUAAUAAAGUGAACGUGUGUAUCAAUGGCUCCAGCUGUAACAAUUAACCCUUCGCCGGCAAUUAUUUCUGUUGAUGCGCCAAUGAUAAUAUCUACAUUAUCCAUGACAAGAGGAUUACCACUCUUACCUAUACCGAAAAUUUUGCCAUCACGGAUAGCUAAAUCAGCUUUGCAAAUGCCUGUGUAAUCUAAAAUGAUAACGUUUGUUAUAACUGUAUCCGCAACACCUUCUGCGCGGGUUGCAAGAGGGUGUUGACCCAUGCCAUCUCGAAU
rnacentral:sRNA from 1 species